GUUGUCUGCUGGUUAAUUGGAAGGUUUUCUUAACGUUCCGGGAACGUUCGUUUUUGGUUACAGGGAACUAGUAGUCUAGACUAGUCUACAGUUACCACCCGAAUGGUCAAACGGUUGCGGCCUGUAAGACUCAUAGGAAGUUUAAUUGACGGACGAGCUAGGAUGGAGCAUCACUUGAGGAAACAGUCCUCAUCUCUUCACGUGCUCAUUUACUGAAUAUGUGCGAGAAGCACCAAAAUAUGGCGCUAUCAUUUUCAACCAAUGGGCUGGCCGUUUGUAACAGGUUGUAGCCGGCGUCACUGUGGCGGGAACGCGCAUUCAAGACGGGAAAGCGGUUGAGGAGGCAUCGGGAUCGCGCUCAUCUGUUUGGCUGGCAAAUGCCUCCGGUGUAACAGGCCGAUCAUUAUGGGAGAACCAGGAUCCCGAAGCGAGAUGGACCCUGACCCACCGACCGCUGCGCAGAGAUUAUCCAGGCGGUUUAUACAUUACACAUUACAUUGUGUGUGUCCAAUAGCAAACAACCAGUGAGCUACAGAGGAGGCGGUGUUUGCUGGGAUUCAAUCUCAGCCAGAGUCGCGGCUGGUAGCUUAACUAGGAGAGAAGGACGAGGAAACUAGGAAGACAGCAGUUUGCAAGAUAACUGGAUCCUGUUCGAAAUUGCUAGAAUGAUGGAUGAACUGUCGAUUACAAGCUGGUCCGGUCAGCACAACCCUGUCAGAGCAGGGUGGGUUCAUCCGGAGUAAAAUCAGUCGGCUCUUAUCUGUCGGCUUCAUCUCCGACGGGAGGCGAUGUCCACUUUCUGCCUAGACCUGCAGACGUCCGCCGUGGUUUCAGCACCACAGGAGCUGGACAGCGACUGCAUGGAGCCCCGGGACACCCCCGCCGCUCAUGAGCCCGGCGGCUUUCAGAGCCACCCGCUGCCGCACGCCGGGUCUGGAGGCCUCGGCAUGGCCUUGGAGGAGGAACUCGCCAUGCUUACCGGGGACCGGGACGACGAGGAGGAGCUGUCGGACCUAGAGACGCCUGUGGUGGGGCAUAACGCAGACUCGCUGUCGCUCUUCCGUCAAAAGGAAAAAGACUUGGUUUUAGCUGCUAAACUCGGCAAAGCGCUGCUGGAGAGAAACCAAGACUUGACCAAGCAAUAUGAGAAAAUGCACAAAGAUCUCAACGAGAAAUUAGAGCACUUGGAGCAGGAGAAGCAUGAGUUGCGUAGGCGUCUGGAAAGUCGAGAGGGGGAGUGGGAGGGCCGUGUUGCCGAACUGGAGACGGACGUCCAGCAGCUGCAGGGGGAGCUGGAGCGGCAUCAGGUCCAGCUGAGAGAGGCUGACAGAGACAAGACCAAGUCCAUCAGCGAGCUCUCCGAACAGAACCAUAGACUGCUGGAGCAACUCAGUAGGGCUGCAGAGGUGGAAAGACAGUUGUCCACUCAGGUCCAUUCAUUACGGGACGACUUCAGGGAGAAGAGUAUGUCUACAAGCCAGCACAUGACUCGACUAGAGACUCUACAGGCUGAGCAAGGGCUAGAAAUUAAGAUGCUGUCGGAGAGAAAGAUGGAGCUGGAGCGCCGUGUGAACACCAUGCUAGAGGAGAAUGAGCUGCUGCAGAAUACAGUGGAGGACCUCCGAGAGAGGACGCUAGUGUUGGAGAGGCAGUCUCACACGAAGGACCUACAGUUACGACAGAGUCAGCUGGAGCUUCAGGAGGUUCAGAUGUCCCACAGGCAGCUGGCUGCUCGGCUGGAGGAGCUGACGGAGGAGCACAGCCUCACGGGCCUCACCCCGCACCCGUCCAGCCUGCUGUGUGAGAUUGAACAGAGCAUGGAGCAGGAGGAGCAGGAGCAAGAGCGAGAACAGCUGCGUCUUCAGCUAUGGGAGGCCUACUGUGAAGUUCGCUCGCUCUGCUCCCAUCUCCGGGGAAACGACGUCACGGAUUCGGCAUUGUCCACUGACUCUUCCAUGGACGAGUCUUCGGAGACGUCCUCAGCCAAGGAUGUGCCUACUGGGAGCCUCCACACCAGCCUGCUAGAGCUACGGAGGCUCACACAGAAUCUGCUGGAUGGCAACGAGUCCACGGGUUCGCCGCGUGGUGAUGAGGAGGGUCUGGAGGAGCAGGCGAGGAAGCUAGGAGAGGAGCUGAGGGAAGUCAGAGAGCUGUACGAAGCCGAGCAGGACAAAACAAGCAGCACUGAAGACAAGGUGCUGCAGCUGCACAAUCAGAUGGCGCUGCUCUCUGUAGAGAUGUGCUCUCUCCGGGAGGACAACGAGCGGAUGAGGACAAUGGCUGAAGUCCGAGAACCCAGCGAGCAGCUCCAGACUGCUAUCAGAGACAGAGACGACGCCAUAACCAAGAAGAAAGCAGUGGAGAUGGAGCUGGCCAAGUGUAAAAUAGACAUCAUGUCUCUGAAUAGCCAGCUCCUGGACGCCAUCCAGCAGAAGCUCAACCUGUCGCAGCAGCUGGAGGCUUGGCAGUUUGCCUCCUCAGGGCUCUUUACUGUUUGGCUCUUGUGGUUUCUGAUCUAGUGGCCUUUCUCAGCUUCCGUACCACCCUUUCUCCCCUGUGGUACCCCCCCCUCCUGCCUUAGAGGAUGAUAUGCACAGAGUGAUUGACCAGCAGUUGAUGGACAAGUACCAGGACGAGUGGCGCUCGGCCCCUACCUCCCUGCCAGGGUCGUCCAGGGCCCAUGGCGGCCAGUCCUCCAGACGAGCUCACCGCAUCUCCGACCGGGACAAGAGACUUUUCUCUUUUUUCAAAAAGAACUGAGCCUCAUUGGAGCACAGCAGACAGACAGAGACAGACGAGGCCAGGGACAAGGAGGGAGUGACAUCACAGUAUUGGGGUAACAACACAGUCAAAGACUGGCAGUGGCACACACUGAGGUUUGGAUGGGGGGGGGGCAUUUUGCACUUUAUCUGUCCCAUUACUCUUAUCUUUGCUGAUUAAUUGGUGACUGCUGACUAAGAGAGACUGACUAAGAAUAGUACUUCCCCAGAGGCUUUGGCUUCAGCCCCUCGCAUAGAAAUCAGUCUUACAGGAUAUGAACAGGGUCACAAAGUUUACCUCCAAAGAGGAAGGUUUCCUUGUAGUGCCUACAACCAUCUCUACUAGCCCACUGCCAACUCUGUAGAGGGGGAACACUAUGUUCAAACUGUUACUGUAUGCAUCCCAGUUAUCAGGCCAAGCAGUCUGGGGAACAACAGGUGGAUGUGUGGGAUAUUGCAGGAUUGUAGGAAAAGAUGUGGAUAGCAGGACAGAGCUGUACAUCAGAAUAUGAUGCUGCAGCCAGCCCACAUGGAAUCUCUCAGGUUUAUUCAUUUGUUUAGGGGAUGUUCACAACAUGAGGCAACAGAGCUUGACGCAUCAGGUUCAUAGUUUGCUGUAUAUCUGACAAAACAAAUGAAAAAAAGAGUGCUUAUUUUCUUAUUGACUGCAAUGCAGGUGAGCGUAUUGCCCCAGGCCCAAACUUCAAAUCAGAGUGAGAAAAAAACAAACUUUAAAGGGUUACAUAAAUGAUUUAGUAUUACAUUUUCAAGUUUGGGGACUUGCAAUAGAUAUAUUAAAGUUGCAUUUAUCAAUAUGGGUCUAUAAACAAUGUGUAGUGUGAAAAGAGCCACUCAUAGUUAAACUCUCUGUAAAUUAUCACCAAACUCUGCAGUUCAGCUCUAUGCAGUGACCUUUUUUUAUCUCAUUGUUUUGGUUUUCCGACCCUUUCGGUUUCCCCCUUUUUCUUGGCAGCAGUCAGCUGUUUUCAGCAAAAAGCUCUAAUAAACUGACUGCACUCUCAACUCCCAAUUACUGCUAAGGUGAACAACUGGUGGCUAACAACCAAAAACAAUGGAUCCUACAUUCCUUGUGUUGUAAUUUUAAACUCGAUUUAUGAGGAUGGUUAAAGCGUAACUCUCGCCAAAAUGCAACCUAGAGUGUUUUUGUGAAUGUACCCGAGUCAAACUUUUGGUUAAAAGCAUAUUUAGGACAAAAGCGCCACUUUUAAGAUUUACCGUAUUUUUGUUUUUUGCGAGAGCUAGGGACACUAUGAUCAAAAUAGCUAUUUUAAAAAAACAAAGAAGACUCGACUCAAUUUCGCCAGGGGCUCUACACAUGACUUUGAGCAUUGAGAACAUUGUUUGUGUAGAUUUUACUAUUAAAAGUUUCGCUCUCCAAACGCAACGCAGGAGGAGAGUAAAGAUGGAAAGCUCCUAAAAGCUUAGUUCCAUACAAAUGCACGGGUAAUUUGUUGUUUUGUCGUUAGUAAAAACAAUAUUGACCUUGUAGUUGAAAAAAGAGCCUUAUAAGAAUGACAUUAUCUACUAUGGAGUCCGUUCAUUCGCAUUCGAAGAUCGACACUUUUUGACUGACAAGAUGGCGGAUAGCGUAAAUAACAACUGCUAAAGGAAGUCUAACCUUUCUUUUUAGUAAACUCUGUGAACAAAAACAAUGUUCUCAAUGCUCAAGUUCAUGUGUAGAGCCCCUGGUGAUGUUGUGUCGAUUCUUCUUAGUGUUAAAAUGUUGAUUUUGAUGCUAUCAUAGUAGCGCCCCUAGCACUCCCAUUCAAAAGACCAUUGUACAAAAAACAAGAAUAUGGUAAAUCGCAAAAGUGGCAUUUCCGUCCUAAUUAUGCUAAAUGAAAGUUUGACUCG